AAACAAGUUUGGGCUUCCUGAUGUAGCUCUACUUGACAUUUUUAAUGAUACUGACACAGCAGUAGAGGAAGACAUUCUUCUAGAGCUGUUGGAGGCCAAUCCAGACAUGUGCCUGACAGUACGUGACAGCAUUUCCAAUGAAGACUUUUCUCCUCUAGAUCAUUCAACACCAUCUUCCCUCACGGACACCAUAUCACUUCCUUCAAGUGACAGUGACCUUAGAGAACUGGGUAUGACCACAGGCAGAAAUAGAUCCAGCAAAGAAGACAUGAGCAGUUCUGCAACAAAGGCUUCCGUGUCAUAGGCGGCAAAGGAGAUUGUAGAAAAUGCCUUGCUUAAGAAGCCUGGAGGAGAGGAUAUUCUUGAGGAGUACAAGUCAGAAAAUUCACUAAUGCACCGCACUCGGAGACAGCUUGUCAACAUAUUGGCGAGUGAUAUGCCUGAGAG